rnacentral:rRNA from 1 species
CAGUAGCCGCGGUAAUACGGAGGGUGCGAGCGUUAAUCGGAUUUACUGGGCGUAAAGCGUGCGUAGGCGGCUUUUUAAGUCGGAUGUGAAAUCCCUGAGCUUAACUUAGGAAUUGCAUUCGAUACUGGGAAGCUAGAGUAUGGGAGAGGAUGGUAGAAUUCCAGGUGUAGCGGUGAAAUGCGUAGAGAUCUGGAGGAAUACCGAUGGCGAAGGCAGCCAUCUGGCCUAAUACUGACGCUGAGGUACGAAAGCAUGGGGAGCAAACAGGAUUAGAGACCCCAGUAGUCCCUGUCUCUUAUAC